GGGUUGUGAGGUUAAGCGACUAAGCGUACACGGUGGAUGCCCUGGCAGUCAGAGGCGAUGAAGGGCGUGCUAAUCUGCGAUAAGCGCCGGUAAGGUGAUAUGAACCGUUAUAACCGGCGAUACCCGAAUGGGGAAACCCAGUGUGAUUCGUCACACUAUCAUUAACUGAAUCCAUAGGUUAAUGAGGCGAACCGGGGGAACUGAAACAUCUAAGUACCCCGAGGAAAAGAAAUCAACCGAGAUUCCCCCAGUAGCGGCGAGCGAACGGGGAGGAGCCCAGAGCCUGAAUCAGCAUGUGUGUUAGUGGAAGCGUCUGGAAAGGCGCGCGAUACAGGGUGACAGCCCCGUACACAAAAGCGCAUGUGCUGUGAGCUCGAUGAGUAGGGCGGGACACGUGGUAUCCUGUCUGAAUAUGGGGGGACCAUCCUCCAAGGCUAAAUACUCCUGACUGACCGAUAGUGAACCAGUACCGUGAGGGAAAGGCGAAAAGAACCCCGGCGAGGGGAGUGAAAAAGAACCUGAAACCGUGUACGUACAAGCAGUGGGAGCACAGGUUUACCUGUGUGACUGCGUACCUUUUGUAUAAUGGGUCAGCGACUUAUAUUCUGUAGCAAGGUUAACCGAAUAGGGGAGCCG
rnacentral:rRNA from 2 species